rnacentral:rRNA from 1 species
UACAGGAGGUCCCGAGCGUUGUUCGGAUUCAUUGGGCGUAAAGGGUGCGUAGGCGGCGGGGCAAGUCUGAUGUGAAAUCCCGGGGCUCAACCCCGGAACUGCAUUGGAUACUGCCUUGCUAGAGUACUGGAGAGGGAACUGGAAUUUACGGUGUAGCAGUGAAAUGCGUAGAGAUCGUAAGGAAGGCCAGUGGCGAAGGCGAGUUCCUGGACAGUUACUGACGCUGAGGCACGAAGGCCAGGGGAGCAAACGGG